UCUCAGCGCUGGCAAGGUGUCAACCCAAACUCCUCUUCGGAGGGGGACGCUUUGGAAUCCCGGAAACCCCUCGCAAGGGGGGAAGAAAGGGUUCCGUCGGGCGUCCUGGUCUCCUCCCAGCAAUGGGAGGGUCAGGCGUUUGCCGUACAGCCGUUGUACAUUUGCAGGCGAAAGGGAAUCUGGUACUUAUUCCAGAACCUCGUCCCGGAUAAAACGUCCCCGAG
rnacentral:rRNA from 1 species